CCCAAGGAAAACCUCACCUUACCCUAUUCAUUAGAGGAAGCAUUACUAGAAGGCAGCCGAAAUAGCGACACCUACAACCAAGCCUAGGGGUAGUGCUAUAGCAACUUUUACAGUAGCUGUAAGCAAGAAAGGAAGAAGAGGAGCAGUAGCCCGGAGGCAUCAAAUGGCUAGCCGGCCAAGUGGCGGGGGCGGCCCCCCCACCGAGCCACUCGGGAGAAAGAGAAAAGAGUAAAGAAGAGGAAAACAAAAGGAGA
rnacentral:lncRNA from 1 species